rnacentral:rRNA from 1 species
ACAAUCCAUCUCACCCCUUGUGCACCACCGCGUGGGUCCCUCUCUGGCUCGUCCGGAGGGGGGCUCGCGUUUUCACACAAACUUGAAGUAGUGUAGAAUGUCCUUUUUUGCGAUAACACGCAAUCAAUACAACUUUCAACAACGGAUCUCUUGGCUCUCGCAUCGAUGAAGAACGCAGCGAAAUGCGAUACGUAAUGUGAAUUGCAGAAUUCAGUGAAUCAUCGAAUCUUUGAACGCACCUUGCGCCCCUUGGCAUUCCGAGGGGCACACCCGUUUGAGUGUCGUGAAAUUCUCAAAACCCUUUCUUUUGGUCAUUUUUGACCAUGGAAAGGAUUUUGGACUUGGAGGCCUUUUUGCUGGUUUCAACCUUGAAGCGAGCUCCUCCCAAAUGUAUUAGUGGGGUCUGCAUUGUCGGUCCUUGGCGUGAUAAGUUGUUUCUACGUCUUGGAUUUUUGGCGCUGUACACCUGCUUCUAACCGUCUCAUUGACAACGAUGGUGUUCCGGUCGCCGCCGAUUUUUCGGUGGGAGGCUUGACCCACGAAACAAACCUGACCU